rnacentral:rRNA from 1 species
UGCAGAAUCCCGUGAACCAUCGAGUCUUUGAACGCAAGUUGCGCCCGAAGCCACUAGGCCGAGGGCACGCCUGCCUGGGUGUCACGC